UACGUAGGGGGCAAGCGUUGUCCGGAUUUAUUGGGCGUAAAGAGCGUGUAGGCGGCCAGAUAGGUCCGUUGUGAAAACUCGAGGCUCAACCUCGAGACGCCGAUGGAAACCAUUUGGCUAGAGUCCGGAAGAGGAGAGUGGAAUUCCUGGUGUAGCGGUGAAAUGCGCAGAUAUCAGGAAGAACACCUAUGGCGAAGGCAGCUCUCUGGGACGGUACUGACGCUGAGACGCAAAAGCGUGGGGAGCGAACAGG
rnacentral:rRNA from 1 species